AGGUGUUCAGUGAAAUCAGUAUCCAGUCCUUUCAAGAAGUCUCAGAAAAUAGACCUGAUGCUUCCAGUUAUUCAGAAUUCCUGCCCAUCCAGCACCAUGGCAACAGCUUUAUCCCCCUGCUUGGCAGCAGCGUUGCUGCAGUAACAGUGUCCAUGACUCAUCUGGAGGAGAGGAGAGCCAAGCAGAGCCACCAAAGAGGAGUCAACCCUGGACACAAGCCCCACCAGGCUCCUGCUCAUCGAUGUUUUCACCCCAACUCUUUCUGUGCACUGAAAAUAUUUUAAACCUUAAUAUUUUAAACCUAUUUGGAGUUUUAAGUCAACAUGCCAGUGUCUAACUGGAUGACAUCUGGGAAGAUCAGCUGCCAAAAUACUGCAAUCAAGUGGUUUGCCUCCUCUGGCAGUGCCCAGUCUCCUAGCAGGAAAAACAAAGAGAUGUGUAUAUAUA